UUUAACUUCUUCAACCUAGAGCUCCUGUAGAAGAAUGAAAAUGAUCGUUAUCAUGGCCGCCAAUUCAAAAUGAAAGCAAUACCUUCCAACAGAGAACAACUAGGAAAAGAAUAAUUAACAGAAUAAUAAAUAGAUACACAAGCAGCUAGGAGUCGAUCCUGAAGCAUGAGGGCAUGGAUAACAGUAGCAACCAUGAGGAGUAAAUAGUAGCAAAUAUUAUAUUGGUGGAAAAAGGUAAAUACCAGCAAGCUCUAAGAAGACUCCAAGAGCUUGAUGGCUCACAAUACAAUCAUGUUUUCGAUAACAAAUACUACUAGAAUUAAGGCACUAAACAUAUUCUAAGAAGUAUCAACAUCAUGGCAGUAAAAAUUAGUAGUAGCAGCUAGCAGGACAUCAAUCGAACACAACGUAAUUAUCAUUUGAACAAUCGAGACAACAAGUUACAGAACAAGCAUGUAUUGACAGGAUAGUUAUCAAUAGUAUAGAACAGAACUAAAUCAAACAGAACUAAAUAUGCAAACGACAAGUGUACAAAAGCUGUAUAUACUGAUACAUACUUGCUAACUGAUUUCUGUUUGGCCUUUAAAGCAUUAGUACGCUUGUUACUCUUUUUAGAGAGACAGGUAUGUAUAUGGUCCUUUUUGCGCCUGUGGUUGCAAGCAUAUGCAGAAGAAGCAACUGACGGACGACACUUAUAUGUGUACAUUCAAAAGUAAGUACAAAAUGGCUUUAGCUUCGAAACAAGAGAACCAGAUGCAUGCCCCGUGCAGUAUUUAAUUUCAAGCGAGUGGGUGCAAACACCAACCAUAACCAGGAAUAUUGGAGAACUACAAGUUAAAUGUACUCAAAGAAACCACCAAAAUCUCUCAAUACCGGUCACAACAAGUAAUCAGAAUACAGCAGCAACAAGUACCAGGAAUAAAUCACGUAAGUAACUAGAACAGAGAAAGAAAAUGUAGAAGUGGCACGAGUCAUGAAUGGUGUCUUGAGUUACUGCUGCAUCGUCCGUAACAGAGGCCGAGGAACUCGCUGUGAUGGGUUGCAGCAUCUAUGCUGAUGCAGUCUCAGCCACAGGCUCCUCCUCACACCUGAAGUGAAACACGCAGGUUGGUCAGCAGAACUACAACAGUUUAGCUUUUGGAGAUGACGAAUAACUCAAUUACCUUUGAUAUCUGUUUCAAAAAAAUUAACCUUCUAGUAUGGCCAUGUUAAUACAUAAAAUUAACCUUUUCCCUUUUACUUUCUAUGAAAAAUGUAAGAGACCAGAAUUCUACAUGUAGCUUCUGUAGACAUAAAUCCUAGAGAAAUACAACUCUGUACGAGAAUCACCCCAAAUAUGAACAGAACAAUUCGGUAUCGCCUAGACGAGGAAUUGAAAAUGCAUGAGCUGAUGCUAUUGUAUGAUACAGUUAUAUACUCCCAUAAAAGAAGUGUUGUUUAAGUACACUCUCUUCUCUUUAUUCCAUCUAUUAAGUAUAUACUCCCAUAAUAGAUAAAAGAAGUAUAUACUCCCAUAAAAGACUUCUAGCUGCCUUUCAGUGCCUAUGUACAGUGCUUUGCAGUCAGGUUUAGGACUAGCAUGAAAACAAAACUAUCUACUUGUUGUACUUGUUAUGUUAAACCAUCGAAAUCAAUCUGGUGUGACACAGGUGGGUUAUGCUAUCCACGACACGAGCACUGCAUUUGUUAAUAUCGACUGCAGUAACGAGGGACUGUUCAAUGCUACGAUUCAACCACGGAGUAAACUCAAAUGAGCGUGGAAGAAGAGCUCACCUCAUUGAAGGCGAGGAUCUGGCCGUAGCUCUUCUUCACGCAUUCUCGAGAGGCUUCCGAAUUUGAAUCAUGUCCUCACCAGAACUUGGACUUGGCGUGGAUCUCGCUGGUGGCCCAGAGCUUCAUGCG
rnacentral:lncRNA from 1 species